rnacentral:rRNA from 1 species
CAAAAAGGGCACCCCCUUUCCUUUUUGUCCCCCCCAUAUAGUGGGGCAUUUUAGGGGGACUGCCGGGGAAAACCCGGGGGAAGGUGGGGGAUGAGUCAAUUUCCUCAGGCCCUUUACCCCGGGGGUCACACAGNUGUCAAAUGGCCGGUGCAAGGGGUGGCAAACGGGGAAAGCGGGGGCAAAUCUCAAAAACCGGUCUCAGUUCGGAUUGUGUUCUGCAAUUGGAUCCC